AACUUUCAGCAAUGGAUGUCUUGGCUCCCACAACGAUGAAGAACGCAGCGAAAUGCGAUACGUAAUGCGAAUUGCAGAAUCCAGUGAAUCAUCAAACCUUUGAACGCAAGUUGCGCUUCCUGCUUUGCAGGGAGCAUGCCUGUCGGAGUGUC
rnacentral:rRNA from 1 species